rnacentral:lncRNA from 1 species
UUCAAUCCACCUCUGUGUGCGCCGGAGCACGGCUUCAAUCCACCUCUGUGUGCGCCGGAGCACGGCUUCAAUCCACCUGUGUGUGCGCCGGAGCACGGCUUCAAUCCACCUGUGUGUGCGCCGGAGCACGGCUUCAAUCCACCUGUGUGUGCGCCGGAGCACGGCUUCAAUCCACCUCUGUGUGUGCCGGAGCACGGCUUCAAUGCUGCACCUCUGUGUGUGCUGGAGCACGGCUUCGAUGCUCCACCACAUUACAACUCUGCCUUUGUCUUCAUUUCCUGCUUGAACAAUCUCAAGGUCAGCCAGAGUGUCUGAGGAUCGCAUGAGAUAAAGGACUUGAAAGAGCCCAGCACGGGGCCACGGACCCAAUCAGGGGAACUGAGCCCCACAGAAGUCAAGAAUUACUACCAGGCGCAACAGCCAAAAGGUGGAAGCAACCCAAACGUCCACGGACAGAAGAAUGAGCAAACAGAACGUGCACUGAUACAGCGGGACGUGAGUCAGCCCUGGAGAGGAAGGAGUUCCUGCGCACGCUGCAGCAUGAUGGGCCUGGAGGACGUCACGCGAUGGGAAGUAAGCCAGACACAGAAAGACAAAUACGGAAGGAUUCCACUUCUGGAGGCUCCUGCAGUCGCCAGAUUCACAGGGGCAGAAGGUGGAAUAGGGGGUGCCAUCGGUGGGCUGGGCUAGGGGAGGCGAGACUGGGAAGUCGGUGGGCCCAGAGACUCCGUUUUGCAACAUGAAGAGUUCUGGAGAGGGAUGGUGGUGGUGACGGGUGCGUGACAAUGUGAACAUACUGAAUGCCACUCAAGUGUACACUUAAGGAUGGUUAAGACGGGAAAUGUUAUGGUAUGUGUAUUUUAUCACAAUUAAAGAAAACAAAACAAACACCCCAGGGGUCUCAGCUACCCCUGAGCGAGGCUGUGAGCCGGGCCGUCCUGAUGGAGACUGUGGGGAUGCUGCUGGCAGCCACAGCAGUGUCCCGUGUGAGGAGCCCGGCACUGUGGAGUCACAGAGGAUGGCAUCCCCAAGGUCACACAGUGGAGAAAUGGCGGAACUGGAACUGGAACCCGGGUCUGUGUGACUUCGGAGUCUGUCCCCUGAACAUCUGUGUGUGAUUUCCAGUGUGACCAUGGCCAAGAUUUUCUCAUCCCACCACGUGUCGAGUGUCCCUUCAGACCUGGUCCUUCUCAACACCACUGGAAGCCCCUUUAUAUGACCCUCUUCCCAGAACUUUGGGAGGAAGUGGGGUGAGAUGGCCUGAAUCCUCCCAGACCUUCAGUCUGGAGCUCUAUGAGAUUGCUGGGGCUUCAGGGCCAUCAGGGGGUGCACCUUGAGCAGAGAAGGCAAGCGAGGUCCCUGGAAAAGAGCUUCCGAGACCAGAUCAUUAAAACAUCUCCCCAGACCAUUUCAUUUGUUUUACAAGUCUCAGACCAACCUCAGAGCUGAAAACUGCCCAACAAGGGAGCAUUCUCUCUGCACAUUCCCAGCUUGGCCUCACAAAGCCCUCUGUCCCUUGGAGGAGUGAAGGAGUAGGUGUGUCCCGGUGGGUGUCUCUAAGGUGGGCCUGGGGACCCUACUGCUCCUGGAGGGGACACUGAGACCCGGAGAGGCUGGCCAGCUUGCUCUGGUUCAGCCAGUGCUGCGGGCACUGUGGUCCUCCAGGAAUUAAAAUCACAGCCUCUUGCUCAACAAAUACAGUUCAUUCCGAAGCUGCUUACGUCCCCCCCAGAGUCAUCUUCCACCAUCCAUCAUGCUGAACCGGGAGCCGAACAGCGCUGGGUCCUGCUGCUUGUGGGAAAGUCCUGAAGCCAUCUGGAAAGCCAACACCACAGGCUGCCAGGGUUUUAAGGCACCGCCAUAGUCUUCGUCUUCGUCAUGUUUGUUUGGAACAACGGUUACUGUCCAGGCUGGUGACAGACCCCGACCACCCCAGUGACCAGAGCUGGUUAAGGUGGCUUGGACACGGUGCCAUUCGGUGGAUGAAUGAAUAGGGCCCUGUUAGGAGGGGCUGGGGUGGUAGGUGUCCCCAGUGUCACAUUCACAGAGGGCCUCAAAUGUGGACAUUCAUGUGCUCUACAAAGGAGCUGACAGCACCAGAUACCAGACAACCACAGCGGCCUGCAACAGUGUUUAAUAAAAGCAAGAGCCGCCGGCACCAUUUAUCGAGUGUCAACUUUACACUUGGCCCCAAUCUCGAGUCUACGGUAUUAACUCACAUAUUCCUGACCUCAAACCCAUGAGGAAGGCUGUUACUGUUAUCUCCAUUUUAUAGAUGAAGAAACUGAGGCACAGGGAGGUUAAUGGGCUUUCUGAGGCCGUACGCUGGUAGCCGGUAGAGUCACGCAGUUCUGAUUGAGAGUCAUGUCCUUAAACACUGCCUGGCUCUCUCUCAUUGAAGAAGAUACUUAUUAAAGGAGAGAGGUUAAAUAGUCCACGGUUUUCAUAACCUCUUCUUGGCAUUUGUUAAGCUGCCCAGGAUGUCUCUCAGAGGUCUGUGAAUUAAAUGUCUAAUUACAAGGCCAGUGUGAUCGGCAGCCCUGGAGACCCGAGACGACUCCAGCCCCCUUUAUGCAUAGCAUGCCCUCCUUGUGCCAUCCAAAAUGCCUGCAGUUUCUGGGCUGGUUCCUCUCCCUGAGUUAGGAGCGGAUUUAGUUAAGCUUUUCCAAUGGGAUUAAGGAGUCCGGACCCAUGACGCAUCCUGGUGACAUACCAGCCGUGCUGCAGCCCCAACACACCGUGUUCUCUGGAGCUCCAAGAGCAUCUCCCCAAGGGCUCCGGUUGGAGGGCUCAGGCAAGGGGGUGCCCGGUGGGCUGGGGAUGGUAGGACCUGCUGACGGGCUGAGCCCAGCAGGCCACGUGCUGGGGGCUUUUACCAUCUCCUCAAUCCUCUCGAGUAAUUCUGAGAUGUACAAGAUUGGCCCCAUUUACAGAUAAAAACCCUGAGGCCCACAGGCAAAAGGACCAUCCAAGGCUCAGAGCUGGUCAGGCCAGGGCGUUUGCCUGCACCAGUGAUGCCCUCCUAAGUUCUUCCUUUUCAGGGAAAUGACUGUGGUUUUGGCACCAGAGCUAAACAUGGAAUGUCCCACCCAGAGGGUGCAACAAGAAGGACGGGAAGGGGCAGGGCACGGGAAGGGGACAAGGGCUGGUCACGGUCUCCGGAUCAGACUGUCAGAGCUCUUGUCAGUGCCUCCAGUCAAGGGGCUGAGGUUGCCCAGGGAGGAAAAGCAUCAACGUUUUCUAGUAGAAGCACUGACUUUUUUUUUUUUUUUUUUUUUUCAAGACAAAUAAUCUUUUAUUCAUAGUCAUGGUAUCCUCCAGAGAAAAUAAACUGAUAAUUGCUAAUAAAAAAACAAGCACUGUA